rnacentral:tRNA from 1 species
GGGCGUGUAACUCAGCGGAAGAGUGCCACCCCGACACGGUGGAAGUCACAGGUUCAAAUCCUGUCACGCCCA